rnacentral:rRNA from 1 species
AGGGAAUAGGGUUAAUAUUCCCUAACUGAGAUGCAAAGAUUGUGUUCUUCGGAGCACAAGCGCGGUAACGCAUUCGAACUUGGUUAGUCGCUCAAAGACCGAGCUAGAGUUUUCUUCUCUAGUUAAGGAACGGACUCCCUGGAAUUGGUUCAGCCAGAGAUGGGGACGUUGUUUCCGAAAAGCACCGCGGUUUCUGUGGUGUCUCGUGCUCUUUGAACGGCCCUUAAAACACCAAGGGAGGCUAUUAAUUUGCACUCAAUCGUACCGAUAUCCGCAUUAGGUCUCCAAGGUGAACAGCCUCUAGUCGAUAGAAUAAUGUAGGUAAGGGAAGUCGGCAAACUAGAUCCGUAACUUCGGGAAAAGGAUUGGCUCCAGUGGUUGGAACGAUUGGCCAGUUGGUUGAUGCUUGUCCGGCGCUAUUCUGUCUGCUUGAUGCUCUCGGGCUGAUGGCGGACUAGUGAUAGUGCUUGCUUGUGGACGCUUUCUGGUGUGUGCUAGGACCUCGGUUCUAGUAUCCUGAUCGCUCAUCUAAACAACCGUACUGGAACCGGUACGGACUCAGGGAAUCCGACUGUCUAAUUA